rnacentral:rRNA from 1 species
AUUGAACGCUGGCGGCAUGCUUUACACAUGCAAGUCGAACGGCAGCGCGGGCUUCGGCCUGGCGUCGAGUGGCGAACGGGUGUGUAAUGCAUUGGUACGUGCCCAGUAUUUUGGGAUAGCCCGGCUAAAGCCGGAUUAAUACCGCAUACGACCUUAUGUUGAAAGCGGGGGACCGAAAGUCCUCCCGCUUUUUGAUCUCCCGUUUUCGGAUUAGCUAGUUGGUUUGGUAAAGGCUUACCAAGGCCACGAUCCGUAGCUGGUCUGCUAGGACGACCAGCCAAACUGGAAGUGAGACACGGCCCAGACUCCUACGGGAGGCAGCAGUGGGGAAUGUUGGACAAUGGGGGCAAGCCUGAUACAGCAAAGCCGCGUGAGGGAAGAAGGACUUCGGGUUGUAAAAAGCUUUUGUUAGGGAAGAAAAAAUGUGGGAUAAUACAACGGGGGGAUGACGGUACCGGAAGAAUAAGCACCGGCUAACUACGUG